UUGACUCAAGAGAACGCUGGGAGGAAGGAGGAGGGUGGGAAGCGAGAGAUGAUAAGCCCAGCUCUGAGAGAAGCGCUCACAAAACAAGGUUACAAGCUGAUUGGGAGCCAUUCUGGGGUGAAGCUCUGCCGAUGGACAAAGUCGAUGCUCCGAGGCCGAGGAGGAUG